UUCUCGAAGAAGAAAAGGUUUCCAUCUAAGC
rnacentral:piRNA from 1 species